CUUCGGGGCGGGGUGAAAAUCCCCACCGGCGGUCAAAGCCCGCGACUUUCCGGCCAGUGUCCAUUCUGAAGGGACCUGCGGAAACUGAAUCGGUGAAAUUCCGAUGCCGACGGUUACAGUCCGGAUGAGAGAAAGUG
rnacentral:ncRNA from 1 species